rnacentral:rRNA from 1 species
GACGAACCGUGCGAACGUUAUUCGGAAUCACUGGGCUUAAAGGGCGCGUAGGCGGGUUGCCAAGUCUGUGGUGAAAUACUUCAGCUUAACUGGAGAACGGCCGUGGAUACUGGCGACCUCGAGGGGGGUAGGGGCUUGCGGAACUGUGCGUGGAGCGGUGAAAUGCGUUGAUAUGCACAGGAACUCCGGUGGCGAAGGCGGCGAGCUGGACCCUUUCUGACGCUGAGGCGCGAAAGCCAGGGGAGCGAACGGG